GGGAAGAGCUCAAAUUUAAAAUCUGGCAGUCUCUGGCUGUCCGAGUUGUAAUUUAGAGAAGUGUUGCCCGCGCUGGACCCGUAUACAAGUCCUCUGGAAUGGGGUGUCAUAGAGGGUGAGAAUCCCGUCUUUGAUACGGACUACCAGUGCUUUGUGGUGCGCUCUCGAAGAGUCGAGUUGUUUGGGAAUGCAGCUCAAAAUGGGUGGUAAAUUCCAUCUAAAGCUAAAUACAGGCGAGAGACCGAUAGCGAACAAGUACCGUGAGGGAAAGAUGAAAAGAACUUUGGAAAGAGAGUUAAACAGUACGUGAAAUUGCUGAAAGGGAAACGCUUGAAGUCAGUCGCGUUGUUCAAGAAUCAGCCUUGCUUUCUUGCUUGGUGUACUUUUUGUUCAAUGGGUCAACAUCAGUUUUGACCACUGGAUAAGGGCCAGGGAAAUGUGGCAUCUUUAGAUGUGUUAUAGUCUCUGGUCAUAUACAGUGGUUGGGACUGAGGAACUCAGCAUGCCRAAAGGACGGGUCUUUAAGACUACGUUACAUGCUUAGGAUGUUGGCAUAAUGGCUUUAAUCGACCCGUCU
rnacentral:misc_RNA from 2 species